UUUAUACAAUAAACUGAAAAUCACUAAAAGCGCUGACGACAAUAUCCCAAGAUAAGGGCAAUUAAAAAUAAUAUAAAAAGGCUUAGUUCUGCUUGCACAUCAGUGAGCGAGCGUGCUAGCAAGCGACUCUCUCUCUCUUAUUUGAAGAUCUGAAUUCAAUAAAGAAUUCAGAAUUCUUCUAUCUGAUUUAUUUUGAUCAAAUUAGCCGCGACCCCGUGUUGUCGUCGGUACACAUUUUAAAACGAUAUCGAGAAUACAAUUAUUUUGCGUCAAUACUUUAUUUAUUUAUUUAAAAGGAACAGUAUAAAUCUUAACGGAAGAUAUCUAAAAAGGACCACUUAUAUGAAGUCGAUGUGCACUUGUUGAAUAGCCUCCUCUAGGAUUAAUCAUGUUGAGAACAAGGGUAGAACCAAGUGCUAAUCUUGUGCCAGUUGAAUUCCCUCGAUCAGGUAACUUAAUGAGUAAUGUUGUAACAGCAGCAUUGGUAUCACUUGUGGGCUCUAUAGCUAAAGGUCUAAUAUCACAUAAUCUAGUAUAUUGGCUGGAUUCUGGCUGUUGAGAUGUAUUUAAAAUAAUAGCUACAAAUGCAAACGGUCUUUUAGCCAUAUGAAGCAUUUCUACAACUUGUUGCCUACGAGCACGACGCAUAUCGGCCGCCUAAAAAACUUUCCAUCCCACAACACAUACAGCAAGAAACAAAAAGAAACAUGAAAAAAAUACCGAAAAAAAUACAAAGAGAUCAAUAUGUAGCUGAUCCUGUCUAAAAAAUACUGUUCCAUAUGUUGGAACUGGCACAAUAUGUGUUGCUUGAACUGGAAGAGAAGAAAUAGCUAACAAAGCCAUAUAAUAUCUUGUUGCUGAUAAAUCAUGCUUGUCAUGUGGAAGUGUGAUAAUCAACCUAAGAAAAAAUUAAAAAUUAAUCUGUAUAAAAAUUAAUUAUUAAAUUUAAUAUUUACCUGUUGUUAACAUUUUUUACAAUCAAUAAAGAAAUACUUUUUUUCAUGGUUA